rnacentral:rRNA from 1 species
AUUCCAGCUCCAAUAGCGUAUAUUAAAGUUGUUGUGGUUAAAAAGCUCGUAGUUGGAUCUCGGCGGUCUGAGGGCGGUUCGCUUCAGAGCGCUACUGCCCUAUAGACCGUAGUUUUGCCAGAGGUCUCAGGGUGCUCUUAACCGAGUGUCUUGCGAUGCUGGCAGGUUUACUUUGAAAAAAUUAGAGUGCUCCAAGCAGGCUUUUACGCCUGAAUAUUCGUGCAUGGAAUAAUAGAAUAGGAAGUCGUUUCUAUUUUGUUGGUUUUCGGAAAUCGACUUAAUGAUUAAUAGGGACAGUCGGGGGCAUUUGUAUUCAAACGACAGAGGUGAAAUUCUUGGACCGUUUGAAGACAAACUACUGCGAAAGCAUUUGCCAAGAAUGUUUUCAUUA